rnacentral:rRNA from 1 species
CACCACUCAAGCCUCGCUUGGUAUUGGGCGCCGCGGUGUUCCGCGCGCCUCAAAGUCUCCGGCUGAGCUGUCCGUCUCUAAGCGUUGUGAUUUCAUUAAUCGCUUCGGAGCGCGGGCGGUCGCGGCCGUUAAAUCUUUUACAAGGUUGACCUCGGAUCAGGUAGGGAUACCCGCUGAACUUAAGCAUAUCAAUAAGCGGAGGA